UACGAAGGGGGCUAGCGUUGCUCGGAAUCACUGGGCGUAAAGCGCACGUAGGCGGCUUUUUAAGUCAGGGGUGAAAUCCUGGAGCUCAACUCCAGAACUGCCUUUGAUACUGAGAAGCUCGAGUCCGGGAGAGGUGAGUGGAACUGCGAGUGUAGAGGUGAAAUUCGUAGAUAUUAGGAAGAACACCGGUGGCGAAGGCGGCCCACUGGAUCGGUACUGACGCUGAGGUGCGAAAGCGUGGGGAGCAAACAGG
rnacentral:rRNA from 1 species